rnacentral:lncRNA from 1 species
CCUGCCCUGUGCGCUGGCCCCGGGGCCUUGUGCCCAGCUCACUGGAAGGGCUGUCAGUCACCCAGCCAAUCCAUUGACCGACAGGUCUGUCUUUAUUGAACCAUUCUCAAGGUAUCCUGGGGAACGCAACCAAACCAGGUGCUUGAGCACUGACUUGAGACCUUUGCUGGGGAGAAAAUGUUCUUUCACUCUAAAAAGUGAGCCAGUCUUGAAAACUGACCCGCGACUUUCAACAUUAAAGGAAGGAAAGAGGAACCGGCUGUGGCUGUCUGCAUUGACUGACUUUAGUAGGAGAGCUGACUGACUCAGUGGUGGGAAGCUAAAUUUAAGGGUCCUGAAAUAAAAAGUUUGGAAAGCUAACUCUUCCUCUUCAAGAAAAAGAGAAGGAACCCAGCAGUGCAAGGCCAUGCCUGAGAGCGGGCUCCAAGACAGGCAGAGCUGUGUGAUUUCAAACUCCGGAGCACGGAAACCCACUCUCAGCAGACGUCCACAGGAGCCACUCAGAGGGGAAAAGAGCGUGGAGGCUGUGGUUAAGCGAAGGCAAAGCUGGAAAUGUAAAGCACGUGAGGGCACAGUGUGGCCCGGUCUGACUGGAUCCAAGCCUGCCCUGCAUUUUGGGCCUGCGACAAGUAAGAAUGGAGCCUAUGAGCGCAGAACGCUAAUAGCUCAGUGAUCAGCACCAGGCUGAGUGCUCAGUACAUCUGCGAUGAUCCAUUGUUGAUGGAAGAAAGUCGACCUACCUCUAACCCCACUUCCUGCCCACAGAGGGGCGUGGAACAAGGGAAGGUGGAAUUGCCAGGUGUGUGUCAUGGAGUGGGUUGGACAGGGGGGCAUACUGUACUUGCCUCUCAUGAAACCUUAGCACUCCUUAAUUGGAAUGGCUAGAUUUGGAGAUACAUAAAUAUGGAAUUGAAGCAUAUGUAUGUCAUAUUUUGUUAAACUGGAAAAUUCCACAGGAAAACUGUAGGCAUAAAAUCCAGCUACUGCAUUCAGACACCACAAUGGUCAAAGGCAGCUGGGAGGCAAAAGUGACUGGCCUACUGUGGUUGGUGUCAGCAAGGAGGACAAAGACAGUCUGCAGUUAGAUAAAGCGUUUGGGUGAAUCUCCUGGCCGAGUGCUCCUGUGGGGCUUAGAUAACGCUGAUGAAUAUGUGCGUUUUGAAAUGAUCGGGAGUCAGUCUGAUAAUCUAUCACAUAUAAAGAUGCCUUUGGGGGCAACUAACCCGUUCUCUACUGUUGUGAAGUCCAACCCUUUAUGAGGAGGAGGACCUGGCAACAUCCCCACAGUCUUUAUCGCUAUCAGCCAUCAUCAUUGCCAGGGUGAGUUACUGACAUGCCUGCCUACGUAUGGUGAUGGAUAAAGCUCUGUCUAGAACAUGACCCAAGUCCUCCUUGCUGCCCUCAAUGGCUUUGUGGUCCAUUCCAUUUCAGCUGCGCGCUAGGAGACUACACAGGGCAGUGGACCAAGCACAGCUUCCACAGUCCGGCAAACAUGGGUAGGGAUCCUGACUCUGCCCCUUAGAAACUUUCUGGCUUUCAGGAAAUUACUUACCUUCUCUAAGUUUUAGAUUUUCAUCUGUAAGAGGAGUUGUCAGUAAUAUCUCUUUCUCAGAGUUGUUGUGAGAUAUAAUGAGAUAUCCACUAUUAAAUAUUUGUAUUAGCAAAUCUUAAGU